CGCGUGGGUAAUCUACCCUCGAAUUGGGGAUAACAUCGCGAAAGCGAUGCUAAUACCGAAUAAUAUCUUAAAAAACCUCGGUUUUGAAGAUCGAAGGAGGCCUCUACUUGUAAGCUUCUGUUUGAGGAUGAGCCCGCGUACCAUUAGCUUGUUGGUAGGGUAAUGGCCUACCAAGGCUACGAUGGUUAGCUGGUCUGAGAGGAUGAUCAGCCACACUGGAACUGACACACGGUCCAG
rnacentral:rRNA from 1 species